CAGGUCUUGACAUCCUCUGACAACCCUAGAGAUAGGGCGUUCCCCUUCGGGGGACAGAGUGACAGGUGGUGCAUGGUUGUCGUCAGCUCGUGUCGUGAGAUGUUGGGUUAAGUCCCGCAACGAGCGCAACCCUUGAUCUUAGUUGCCAGCAUUCAGUUGGGCACUCUAAGGUGACUGCCGGUGACAAACCGGAGGAAGGUGGGGAUGACGUCAAAUCAUCAUGCCCCUUAUGACCUGGGCUACACACGUGCUACAAUGGAUGGAACAAAGGGUCGCGAAGCCGCGAGGUCGAGCCAAUCCCAUAAAUCCAUUCUCAGCUCGGAUUGCAGGCUGCAACUCGCCUGCAUGAAGCCGGAAUUGCUAGUAAUCGCGGAUCAGCAUGCCGCGGUGAAUACGUUCCC
rnacentral:rRNA from 1 species